AUUGAACGCUGGCGGCAUGCUUUACACAUGCAAGUCGAACGGCAGCACGGACUUCGGUCAGGUGGCGAGUGGCGAACGGGUGAGUAAUGUAUCGGAACGUGCCCAGUCGUGGGGGAUAACGUAGCGAAAGCUACGCUAAUACCGCAUACGAUCUAUGGAUGAAAGCGGGGGAUCGCAAGACCUCGCGCGAUUGGAGCGGCCGAUAUCAGAUUAGGUAGUUGGUGGGGUAAAGGCUCACCAAGCCGACGAUCUGUAGCUGGUCUGAGAGGACGACCAGCCACACUGGGACUGAGACACGGCCCAGACUCCUACGGGAGGCAGCAGUGGGGAAUUUUGGACAAUGGGCGCAAGCCUGAUCCAGCAAUGCCGCGUGCAGGAUGAAGGCCUUCGGGUUGUAAACUGCUUUUGUACGGAACGAAACGGCGAGCUCUAAUACAGUUUGCUAAUGACGGUACCGUAAGAAUAAGCACCGGCUAACUACGUGCCAGCCGCCGCCGUAACAC
rnacentral:rRNA from 1 species